UAGACAGAUAAGGAUGUUAGAUUCAAAAACAAUUAAUUACUUCUUUGGAAAAAAUACUUACUAAAUUUAUUCACACAGAGUCACAAAGGCACAAAGCAUAAUAUACCCAAAUGGCUAAGCUAAUCCGUAGCACCACCCUAGGCCUUGCCGUAGCGGCCCCUUUCGUACUUGCCUUGAUUGCGAGCUUUGUUAUGCAUGCUACUCUGGCGCAAAACAAUCCCGAUGCUCUUAGACUGGCAAAAUGGUGCCUCUUUGAGGGCUUUGAUCAGUCGGGUCAUUGCGGAGGUGAUCAAGACUGGAUAGACUGUACAAAAGGGUGCAAGGCAAUUUCUGCUUCUAUACACUCUGGGAUUUGUGAUGACGAUCCUCAAAGUAAUCUAAGAAAAUGCUACUGCGUUAUUUACUGUGGAUCAACCCCACAAACUGAUAUUUGAUUGCCUUCUUUAAAUUUCAAUAAUUCGAGUGUACUUUUUCAUUGUUGUACUCAGGGGCGGAUUUAGGGGGUGGCUUACCCAGGCCUCGACCCACCUCAUGAUCCAAAAUAAUUAUAAGUAACCUAUCUGGGAUAGUAAUGCAAAUUGGUAUGGUGGAGCAUGUGGUUUUUAGAGAAAUUAAUCAAUAAAUUCGGCCCACCCUAUAUAAAAAUCCUAGAUCCGCCACCAGUUGUACUUGUACCUCUUUCAAUAUUUGAGUAUGCCCUUUGACGGAAGUUCA